UACGUAGGGUGCAAGCGUUGUCCGGAAUCACUGGGCGUAAAGGGCGCGUAGGCGGCUCAUGAAGGCUGUGGUGAAAGUCCGGGGCUCAACCUCGGAUCGGCCGUGGCGACUCGUGGGCUGGAGCACUGUAGAGGCGGGUGGAAUUCCGGGUGUAGCGGUGGAAUGCGUAGAGAUCCGGAAGAACACCAGUGGCGAAGGCGGCCCGCUGGGCAGUGGCUGACGCUGAGGCGCGACAGCGUGGGGAGCAAGCAGG
rnacentral:rRNA from 1 species